rnacentral:rRNA from 1 species
GAGUUUGAUCUUGGCUCAGAUUGAACGCUGGCGGCAUGCCUUACACAUGCAAGUCGAGCGGAUGACGGGAGCUUGCUCCUUGAUUCAGCGGCGGAUGGGUGAGUAAUGCCUAGGAAUCUGCCUGGUAGUGGGGGACAACGUUUCGAAAGGAACGCUAAUACCGCAUACGUCCUACGGGAGAAAGCAGGGGACCUUCGGGCCUUGCGCUAUCAGAUGAGCCUAGGUCGGAUUAGCUAGUUGGUGGGGUAAUGGCUCACCAAGGCGACGAUCCGUAACUGGUCUGAGAGGAUGAUCAGUCACACUGGAACUGAGACACGGUCCAGACUCCUACGGGAGGCAGCAGUGGGGGAAUAUUGGACAAUGGGCGAAAGCCUGAUCCAGCCA